CUACGGGUGGCACCAGUGGGGAAUAUUGGACAAUGGGGGAAACCCUGAUCCAGCAAUGCCGCGUGUGUGAAGAAGGCCUGCGGGUUGUAAAGCACUUUCGGUUGGGAGGACUGCUUCUAGCACUAAUAUUGUUGGAAGUUGACGUUACCUUCAGAAGAAGCACCGGCUAACUCCGUGCCAGCAGCCGGCGGUAAUACGGAGGGUGCAAGCGUUAAUCGGAAUUACUGGGCGUAAAGCGCGCGUAGGCGGCUAGAUCAGUCGGGUGUGAAAGCCCCGGGCUUAACCUGGGAACUGCAUCCGAUACUGUCUAGCUUGAGUACAAGAGAAGAGAGUGGAAUUCCACAUGUAGCAGUGAAAUGCGUAGAUAUGUGGAGGAACACCAAUGGCGAAGGCAGCUCUCUGGCCUGAUACUGACGCUGAGGUGCGAAAGCGUGGGGAGCAAACAGGAUUAGAUACCCUAGUAGUC
rnacentral:rRNA from 1 species